rnacentral:rRNA from 1 species
AGAGCGAACGCUGGCGGCAGGCCUAAUACAUGCAAGUCGAACGGAUCCUUCGGGAUUAGUGGCGGACGGGUGAGUAACACGUGGGAACGUGCCCUUUGGUUCGGAACAACUCAGGGAAACUUGAGCUAAUACCGGAUGUGCCCUUCGGGGGAAAGAUUUAUCGCCAUUGGAGCGGCCCGCGUCUGAUUAGCUAGUUGGUGGGGUAAAGGCCCACCAAGGCGACGAUCAGUAGCUGGUCUGAGAGGAUGAUCAGCCACACUGGGACUGAGACACGGCCCAGACUCCUACGGGAGGCAGCAGUAGGGAAUCUUGCGCAAUGGGCGAAAGCCUGACGCAGCCAUGCCGCGUGAAUGAUGAAGGUCUUAGGAUUGUAAAAUUCUUUCAGCGGGACGAUAAUGACGGUACCCGCAGAAGAAGCCCGGCUAACUUCGCGCCAGCAGCCGC